ACAACAACAUUCGCACCGUCGGUCUACCGAGCAAUAUCACUUGUUCGGUGGAAGAUCUUCCCUUCGUCGUUAUU
rnacentral:pre_miRNA from 1 species